ACGCCCAGUGACUACACACAGGAUAAGCAGGGAGAAAGAAUGGAUUGAUAAAUAAGGAAACACUGAAAUAAGGCCUGUGCUACCCUUUAUUUUCUGUAUUAGUCAUCCCUAGUUGCACUGUAUGCAUCAUGCAGUCCAUGCAGACAGGCUGCCACGAAAGCAGAGGGGCUAUCUGGCGGACAUGUGAGGGCGUUGGUACAGACGUACAGCAGAGAGGAAUAAAAGGAUAUGUGUCUCCCUCUACAAAACCCCAGCGCUUUUAAACGAAGCCAGCUUCACGUCAACAAUUACUCAAGCUUCAAGUCUUAGUUCAGAUCAUUCUCCCGAGAAACUCCUCACCUCAACCUUUGAGGAUUCAUCCAUUUCCUCCACCCUUAUAGGAAUCCCUCAGCAGAGCCACAUCAACACAGAGACUGCAUUUGUCCCCUGUUUAUUCAAGAGCUUUUAAUGCAUUUUACCCAUUUCCAUCUGUCUGCAUUUCGGUUUGGGUCCAGUAAAACUGUUACAUAAUGUGCAAAAAUAUAACCAUGGCUGGGCUUAGCAUCCUGUAGGACCUGAGUGAGAUCUUUCAUUGCCCCCCCCCCCAUCUGCUUCAUAACCACACAGUAAUUUCUAACAUAAUUUAACACUCUCAUGUGUUUUCAGCUGUUCAUGCUUUGCAGUAUGACCACUGAUCAGGAAUCGUUUCACUUAAAGGAUUUUUAUUUUGACAGAUUCAUUGCCCCUAAUUAUCAGCCAGUCCAAAAGUCAAUCUGUUGGCUUCACAGCUGAUUCGUCUGAAAGACCCAAACAAGUUGUAAAUCAUGAGAAAAAAAAAUUGUAGCUAUAACAGCAGGAUAAUAGAUUUUUGCCAUAACUGUUGUUUGUAGUAUGUUCAAGUCAAGACGGUAAAUAAUUUAACUUUCAGAAAAACAGCUUGUUUAAAACAACAUUUUGAGGUGUGUGUCUACAGAAGCAAUCAUCACAUUUUUAACCUCAAUUUACCUUCCAAGCAGAUUGGUUUAUGAGAUUUUUUUUUUACCAGUACAAGUGUACAGUACAUGUGAAAACUAAUCUGUGUUAGAUCAAGGAGAGUGGCCACAGCAGUGAAUAAACUGGUUGAUAACACAGCCAAGACACAGUGUAAGGGCAUUUCCUAGUUUGCCUCUAGCAUUCAAGAAUAUUUCAACCUGAUCAAUAUAGGCACGGAGCAAAUAUUAUCAAUCAGUAGAGACCCGCAGUCAAUAUCCGCAGUGGAAACUCUUGGCGGCCCGACAUGCCUUGUAUUAAAAUGAUGUUUACGUUUUCCUCACGUCUCUCUAUUGAUUAUUUUUUGGAAACUAGAAGGGAGGAAGAAGGAGAAAAACAGUGUGGUUCAGGUUUCACCUGUCAAUAAACCUUGGUCUCCAAGUCCAACAAGUAAACAGAUAUUAACAUAUGCCCAACAUCAUCUUCUUUACUGCAUGUACAACACGGACGUGGAAGCACGCUUGAACAGAGCCCAUGAAACAAUAUAAAAUAAUGAAAAAGCUGAUUGCAAAUAUGUACAACAGUUUACGAAUCCAUGUCUACAGUUUAUUAAACUGUGCCCAUCCAUGCAAAACUGGAAUCAGUUUACAAAUCGAUGCAACACAGUUUAAGAAUCCACAGAUUGCAAAUCCGUGCGCAUGGUUUUGUAAACUCUGGAUAUGGAUUUUCAAAUGUCUGUUUACCCGAGGCUUCAUAAACUUCAGACCUAAACAGACAAGAAUACAUUUAAAGUUAUGUGAUACCAAAGGUUUCAUUCGUUUUAAAAUGAAACAUCUCAUUUCAUUUCAUUGUAAUGUGAUUAUAUAAUGACAUACUUCCUUCAUGCUGACUAAUGACAGGCAAUAGCUUUUUUUUUCCCAGUGAUACACACAACUCACAACUGAAGAAAUUGUCAGUAUCCUUUGGUGUAAAUUCCUUCCUUCAUUCAUGCAUUCAUUUCACAAAUAAUAUAAGCAGCAGUCUUUAUGUUGUUUUGUUUUUUUUGUUUAAAGACAGUCAGUUGCAUUUUUUCCUCGAUAAGCUGGAAAUAGAGGAAAGUUAAGAUAAGAUACUUUUUGUCAUUGGAUGCUAUUCUAACAAACUUGUGGUUUCAAUGUUUUCUGUGUGAGUAAGCAGUUGGAAUCAUUCCUACUGCCAUUAAACAUCUAGGUUAAGUGUAUUGUAUGGAUUUUAUAGUGUAUGUGGUAAUUAUGUCGUCUCAUAAAAAGCUUUCGAAGCGAUAUUACUAAAGCAUGAUCAACCUUUGUGUCUCGUGUUGCCCUAGUAACUGAGAACACAAAAAAAACAGCUGCAUAGUCAAAAGUUAACUUGAACAUAUUGGCCUUUAAAAAAGAAAUGACACCAUAGCAGUUUAAGCCUUUGAUGUCAAGGCCGAGGUAUUAUGCGAGCCGACUGUUUUACUGCUCCGCAUAAAGCAUCUUUGUAUUCUCAUAUGACGUAAUCAAAAGCAAUAUUUUAUGGAUGGAACAAAGCAUGCUUUAUGCCAUGUAGAUCUUGUGAUGGCCCUGUGCAUUGCACAGUUGACUGAUGUUUGAUUCCUGUCUCUAAGGGCUGCCGACGCUGAGGCAGGUAAUCAGGAGAAUGAGACACAUAUUUUAAGCUGUGCCUAGUGCUAAAAAUCAGAGCAGCAGUCAGUCUCUGUGAGAUGUUUAGAGAGACCUCAUCUGACAACACACCUUUGCGUUUGGUUUCUUUGGCUCAAAAUAUAAAUACUGCAUACUAACCAGACUGUUAGUAUGCCGUAAGCAACAAACUAAAAUACAGGUAAAGCAACGUACUUCUGUUUCGAGCUCCGUUCGAUGAGCUAGCUUCAAGCUAGCGUGACCGUCGGUCCGUAGAUAUUAUUGAAGAACAAAAUGCAAACGUUCAUUUCUAAUACAAAACGUAAUCAUUUUAAUACUAAUUCCAACAUGUUAAAGGCAUUUCAGUUUGGAACUUUUAUUUUCAAUCGCUAGUUGGCUGGCUGUCGAGCUCCGCGAUAGGACAGGCAGAGAGCCACAGUGCAUUGUGGGGCCAAUAUGCUCCGUUUCAUACUUAAAAAUUCUGGCCGGUCUAGUAUACAGCCGGGUAUUUCUUGUAUACACAAAAUUGCAUACUAUGAUUUCAGAUCGUACUUCAAACUCAAAGUGACGCCACAUUGAGUAUGAAUCCAAGUAUGUGGUUUUGGAGACAGCCAUUGUGUUUGGUUUUACACACAACACCUAUACAGCACAUUUCACCACACCCACACUGUUCACAACUAACUUUACAGAUAUUUCAAAUCUACAGGUUUUUGAUCAUUUCCCUUGUAAAUAAAUAACUUAAAAUAUAAGUAUAGCCCUGUGUCUCCCAUCUUUAUGGCAGAGCUGUGGUGUGACAAUCUGUGCAGACACCUCGUUUAUUUUCAAACUCACAGUCCUGACUGUUUUUUUUUUCUGUAAAUCAUCACCUCAAAGCAAAGAGCAGCGCCUUUGAUUUAUGCCCGUGCAGUGACAUUUCAUGCCAUUUUCAAGGCCGGCAGGGGAAACAGUUUUGUGGUGAAAGGCCAAAUAUGUUUGUAUGAUAAAGCUUAGAGGAACUGCUGCUUGAGCUCAUGUGAAAGAUACAUAAUGGGAGAUGGAUGACCCUGCUCUGUCUACACUGCAUCACCUUUAAUGACUUCUUUAUUUUUAUUUACAAUAACUUUAAACUUGAUGUCUUCAUUGUCACACAUUGUCCUGCCUGUAAAUCUAACACAGGUCAAGUAGAAGGACAUUUAUCACUUGUUGAAAAGGACGCAAGUGUUAAAAGUUAAAAAAAGAGGCUUGAUUGUUGGUACACUUGUUUUUUAUGU